rnacentral:rRNA from 1 species
GUCCUAGCCGUAAACGAUGGACACUAGGUGUUGGCGGUAUCAACCCCGCCAGUGCCGAAGCUAACGCAUUAAGUGUCCCGCCUGGGGAGUACGGCCGCAAGGCUAAAACUCAAAGGAAUUGACGGGGGCCCGCACAAGCAGCGGAGCGUGGGGUUUAAUUCGACGCGACGCGAAGAACCUUACCAGGGCUUGACAUGGCCAGGACCACGGCGGAAACGUCGUCUCCCCGCAAGGGGCCUGGUCACAGGUGUUGCAUGGCUGUCGU